AUACGAAGGGGGCUAGCGUUGUUCGGAAUUACUGGGCGUAAAGGAUGCGUAGGCGGAUAUGUAAGUCAGAUGUGAAAUACCCGGGCUCAACUUGGGUGCUGCAUUUGAAACUGCAUGUCUAGAGUGCGGGAGAGGAAAGUGGAAUUCCGAGUGUAGAGGUGAAAUUCGUAGAUAUUCGGAGGAACACCAGUGGCGAAGGCGGCUUACUGGUCCAUUACUGACGCUGAGGUGCGAAAGCGUGGGGAGC
rnacentral:rRNA from 1 species